GACAGAGGGUGCAAACGUUGUUCGGAAUUACUGGGCAUAAAGCGCACGUAGGUGGUCCACUAAGUCGAGUGUGAAAUCCCCCGGCUCAACCGGGGAAUUGCGCUCGAUACUGGCGGGCUAGAGGUCGAUAGGGGUGAGCGGAACUCCAGGUGGAGCGGUGAAAUGCGUAGAUAUCUGGAGGAACACCGGUGGCGAAAGCGGCUCACUGGAUCGAAACUGACACUGAGGUGCGAAAGCUAGGGUAGCAAACGGG
rnacentral:rRNA from 1 species